UUCUCCUUUUUUUUUCACUCUGCUGAUAAAACGGAGAUAAGCGAAGUAUAAAACACUCCUUAAUAAGAUUCUCUACAAAUUUGUUCUCAAAAUUUCCAUUUUGUCUCGAGAAACUUUAUCAACGGAUUUUUAUCGUCGUUUUACGGGAUUUCAUUUAAUUAGAAGAAAAAAGUUUCUAUAUAAAGUAUAAAGUAUACGUAGUUAAUGGCUUGGGACAUAAAACACUAUUCUGGGGGCGCUCUAAGCUCUUGUUAGUUCCACAUACAACGUUAUUAUUGAGUCGUCUCUGAGAAAUGCCUUGCGGUGUUAUUACGAGAGAGCCGUGGUUUGCAAGGGUCACUGAUUGAAAUUUACAUUCGGGAGACAAGCUUAGAAUGGAGAUGGGAUAAUUAUUUGGGUCCACCUUAAGGAGCUUACAACUUAUUUUAAUAUAGAUUAACGUACAUAAUACCACAGGUUUGAAACUUUCACGUAUUUAAGUAGAGAGAGAAUUAUAGAAAUAAGAUGAUUCAUAGAUAUUCUGAAACUGAACUGCAAAGAUAUAUAUUUUAGUCUAAAGUUACCAGGAAAGGAUUAAACUAUAUAAAUGUUUAUAAAUUAUAUAAAGUGCUUCUUAAAAGAAAAAUUGUUGUCCUUGGAAAUCUUUUAAAUAAAUACUAAGUACUCAAAAGUAUAUCAGAUAAUCGCAACCAUUUUUAAAUAAAAAUCAAUUUAACAAUUUUUUUAUUAUGUACCUAUUUUAAACAAUCAUUAUGAGUCACGCUGCAAUAAUUAAGAUAUGAAAUUAUUAAUUAUCUUUAAUUGUUUUUCUGAUCUUUUUUUGUGUCUUAAUUGAAUCUAUGAGAUAAAAAUUCAAAGGUAGUGGGCAUAAAUUUAAAAUUCUAAAUUAUAACUAAAUCUGCUCAUUUUAAUCAAAUAUUAAUAAAGCAGUAGUAACCCAAUUUGUAAUAAAACAAAAUUUGGCAACUGUAAAUUUAAAUGAACAGGAAAACUGCCAAUUUAAACAACCUCGUAACUCUAACCAUUUCAGAGAUAGAGGCAUAUUAUGUAAAAUCAAUAAUGUAACAAACAUCCGCAUAUUAAAUAUAUAUAAAAUAAAUUUAGCAAAAAUCAUUCAUAUGAGCAAUUAGAUUAUAUGCGAGUUCGUAAGUGAAUAAGUCUAUUUUAUUUCAUUAAAUGCCUAUAUGAAGUAGUAUAUUUUAAAUUUAAUCUAUAUUUAAUAGUGCCCAAAUACCCAAUAACUUAAAUGUGUCUCUUUACUGUCCUUUAAAUUAAACAUAUCUUUAUAGGCCAACAUGCUUUAACAAAAUUGCUGCUUGGUUUCAUUUUACAGGGUGUUAAAGUUUUGUUUUCCAAAACAACAAUUUUGUUAUACCUGAAAGAUGUUGAUUAUAACUUGUUUGGAGUCUGUGUAAGUUUGAAUUUGGAUACAUUUUAUAAUGGCAUAAAUAUUUUUAAGUAAGGUAUCCUAUGAUUUUUGUAAGGGUGAGCUAUUUGAUUACAUGCUCUAAAAAACAUGAUCGAUGGCUUGAUGACAGAGUUGUCGGCAAAAUACCCAUGUAAAAUGUUACUGGUUUCAAUUCUCUAGGGUAUUAAUGUGUAUUGAUAAAAUUUGAUUUUAAUUAGUCUUUUGGAAAUUUUAUAAAUAUUAAUCAAUAUUUUAGGCAUCUGCAAGGUGGCAAUAUUUAAAGCUUUAUAACCCAUCAUUUUAAUUAUUACUCCUAUUCCAACUCAUUAAUUUAUUUUUAAAACGAAUUAUUGCUUUUGAAGUCCGAUGACAGAGUAUGAUAUAAAUAAGGAUAAUUUUCAAUUUUAACAAAAUUAAAUAAAAUUAAAAAAAAACAGAGACACAACUCUGAACAGUAAGUUAGGCUGGUAUAGGAAGGAAUUAUGCUGCAAAAAGGCUAUAUUGUUAACAUCCUUUUAUGUUCUCAUUAUUUUUACUUUCUUUUAUUUUUGUUCUCUCUUUUUUCUUCUACAUUUUUUUUCAUUUUUAAAUUUUAUGUUUAAGUCUAAGCAAGUUUCUACCUUAUUUACAGGUAUAAAUAAAGAGCUGCAUUAAAUAACGUCAUAACUAAAAAUAACUCUUUUUUUAUCCCAUUAAGACUCAUGAAAAACAUGAGCUAAGUUAGCCAAAAUAGGACAUGGUUUAGUUAAUAGCUUUAUAAAAAGAUACCGUCUAGGCACAAAAAUUGAAGAAGAGAAAGGCUAAUCCAGUUCUGAAAAAAGACGGAUAUGGCAGUUAUGAAUAAGUUUUUCAAGUUAUAUGCCCAAAGGCUUUAUACAUGGAAAGCUCCCGGAGAUACUCUGCCUAAAAGUUUUUAAGUAAUUUUGCUUUCUUCCAGGAAUCUCAAAGUUAAGUUUUGGAAAAUAUUUAUGCCUGGAAAAAAUUCAAAUUGACAACUGCCUUGAAUAAAUUAAUUUCUCUGUCCAGGCUUUUGAGGUUAUUUUUCAUGCCUUAUAGAUUUUGUUUAAGUGCAGGGAUUGCAAUUCAUUUCUAUUUUUAGAUGCUUGAAAAAAAUUAAGGCACAUCUCAACUGCCUGGAAUAAUUUUUUUUUCAAUCAGCUGAAUUAAUUUCUCUAUU